rnacentral:sRNA from 1 species
UAUUCUAACCUACGGGGAAGGAUGAGAAGCUUCGACUAAGGUUCGACUCGAGCGCCAGCGAGAGAACGUUGCCAAGGGCAACGGCCCGAAGGGCGAGGAGCGAUAGCGACGAGUUAUCCUUCCCCCUCUAUUC